rnacentral:rRNA from 1 species
CGGAGGGUGCAAGCGUUAUCCGGAUUCACUGGGUUUAAAGGGUGCGUAGGUGGGCUUGUAAGUCAGUGGUGAAAUCUCCGGGCUUAACUCGGAAACUGCCAUUGAUACUAUAAGUCUUGAAUACCAUGGAGGUGAGCGGAAUAUGUCAUGUAGCGGUGAAAUGCUUAGAUAUGACAUAGAACACCAAUUGCGAAGGCAGCUCGCUACGCGGUUAUUGACACUGAGGCACGAAAGCGUGGGGAUCAAACAGGAUUAGAUACCCUGGUAGUCCACGCCCUAAACGAUGGAUACUCGACAUCAGCGAUACACUGUUGGUGUCUGAGCGAAAGCAUUAAGUAUCCCACCUGGGAAGUACGACCGCAAGGUUG